rnacentral:rRNA from 1 species
UACGGAGGGAGCUAGCGUUGCUCGGAAUUACUGGGCGUAAAGCGCACGUAGGCGGCUUUCUAAGUCGGGGGUGAAAUCCUGGAGCUCAACUCCAGAACUGCCUUCGAUACUGGAGAGCUUGAGUCCGGGAGAGGUGAGUGGAACUGCGAGUGUAGAGGUGAAAUUCGUAGAUAUUCGCAAGAACACCAGUGGCGAAGGCGGCUCACUGGCCCGGUACUGACGCUGAGGUGCGAAAGCGUGGGGAGCAAACGGG